CUACGGGGCGCUGCAGUGGGGAAUUUUGGACAAUGGGGGCAACCCUGAUCCAGCAAUGCCGCGUGAGUGAAGAAGGCCUUCGGGUUGUAAAGCUCUUUUGUCAGGGAAGAAACACCGGCUCUAACACAGUCCGGGAAUGACGGUACCUGAAGAAUAAGCACCGGCUAACUACGUGCCAGCAGCCGCGGUAAUACGUAGGGUGCGAGCGUUAAUCGGAAUUACUGGGCGUAAAGCGUGCGCAGGCGGUUAUACAAGACAGGCGUGAAAUCCCCGGGCUUAACCUGGGAAUGGCGCCUGUGACUGUAUAGCUAGAGUGUGUCAGAGGGGGGUAGAAUUCCACGUGUAGCAGUGAAAUGCGUAGAUAUGUGGAGGAAUACCAAUGGCGAAGGCAGCCCCCUGGGAUAACACUGACGCUCAUGCACGAAAGCGUGGGGAGCAAACAGGAUUAGAUACCCUCGUAGUC
rnacentral:rRNA from 1 species